rnacentral:sRNA from 1 species
AUAUACACUUCAGCAGGAACCAUGCCAUUUUAAUACAGAUGAAGGGGCUAUAGACUGUUGCUUGCUAUGGGUCCCUAACAACUGUUGUGUUCUCAAACACUCCAGAAUAAAUCAGGGUAAAGUGGUCAAGUUAUAUACUAUCAACAUGUAGGUUUGCAAAGCGUCUAGUUGUUGUAGAGUUCAAGGCAAUUUUUUGCCUCUUCUGUGAGGCAAAAAAUGAUAAGGUGUGAUCCCUGUACACUUGUAGAAGAACGAGCCUCUAGGUACUCUGCUUUUCCCAGAAGCCAUAAGCAGCCUGUGAUGGGAGCUCCACUGAUCAAGUUAAUGAAGGCGAGUUCUCUUCCCUUCUAUCACAGGUGCUGCGACAAGAGACUUUGGACAAAAAUUGACUUGAGUAGGUGUAAGGCCAUUGUGCCCCAGGCCCUCAGUGGCAUCAUCAAGAGGCAGCCAGUCAGCCUUGACCUCAGUUGGACCAACAUCUCUAAAAAGCAACUGACAUGGCUCGUCAAUAGGCUGCCAGGACUGAAAGACCUCCUCCUAGCAGGCUGCUCCUGGUCUGCAGUCUCUGCCCUCAGCACCUCCAGCUGCCCCCUUCUCAGGACCCUUGAUCUUCGGUGGGCAGUAGGAAUCAAGGACCCUCAAAUUCGGGACUUGCUUACUCCACCGGCUGAUAAACCAGGUCAGGACAAUCGCAGCAAGCUCCGGAACAUGACCGACUUCCGGCUGGCAGGCCUUGACAUCACAGAUGCCACGCUUCGCCUCAUCAUUCGCCACAUGCCCCUCCUGUCUCGACUCGACCUCAGUCACUGCAGCCACCUUACAGAUCAGUCCUCCAAUCUACUCACUGCUGUCGGGUCUUCCACUCGCUACUCUCUCACAGAGCUCAAUAUGGCAGGUUGCAAUAAAUUGACAGACCAGACCCUGAUCUACCUACGGCGCAUUGCCAACGUCACCUUGAUCGACCUUCGAGGAUGCAAGCAGAUCACUCGAAAAGCCUGCGAGCACUUCAUCUCAGACUUGUCCAUCAACAGCCUCUACUGCCUGUCUGACGAGAAGCUGAUACAGAAGAUCAGCUAAGACACACCCAGCCCAGACUCAACAGGAAACCGAUCUUCCCCUGACUCCCCACCGAGGAGAGCCUCUCCUCGACCCUGCACGGGCUCUGAGGCCAGCGUCACACUCCCUCUCUGCUCUCCUGUCCCUUGAGCCCUUCCUCUACAGGUGGGGCAGAGAGGGUGGUGGACACCAGGCUUACCUGCCUGCUCCUCUCCCUCCUAAGGAAAAGGGAGUAGCAGAUUGAUCUGAGGGGAAAGCACAGGCUGUGCUGUCGAGGCGCCUGCUCGCUUACUCGCCUGCCAGGAGGCCGGGCUCUCAGUUUGGGGUGUUUGUGCAACCUUCAUCUGCACUGGGCCCUGUGCCCCUCCUCCCCAUCCAUGGUCCCCAGCAGUGCCUGGUUCUGAGCAAACUCCCAGGGAAGAAAACGGCCCUGUCUCCAUGGCCAGGUUCUUGUGGUGUCCAGUGCGCGUCUCUCCUCCAUCACACUCUCCCGGCUUGUGCAGGAGGGGCCAGCAGCCCCAGGAGUCCCAGACCCGUGCCGAUCACACUGGUGCUGUUGAGAUGUCCCAAACCUCACGUCCUUAACUGUGCUCUCCCUCCUUUCCUCUCCCUUGAGCUUGGUUCUGCCCAGCACUCGUGCUCGUUCACAUAAUUAGGUUUCCCACCCCAGCUUACCCGACUUACUUGCUAGUCUCUAUGAGGUCCUUAUUGCACUUAUUGGGGUUGAAGCUCUUCAGAGGAGCUGGAACUGUCUACCCCAGGGACACACCCAUUUCAUUGCUACCCAAGUGGAUUCUGAGACAGGCACCAUCUCCUUGUUCCCCCUCUCUCUUUUGCCUCCCACUGACUGCCCUUUUCCAUGUGUCUUCAUUCUGCCUGAAGAAGGCUUUCCCAGGAUGCACGUCCUCAGAGGGAGCAGCCUAUCUCCCCCAAGCUGGAGGCGGCAGAGGACUGGGCCAAGCCCCAACCUGCCUCCCAGCCAGGCUCCUCCAGGCCUCUGGUUUAGCGGAGCCCCCUGAGCCCAGGCCUGUGUCUAGCCCCAGUGGCUCACUGAACUUUCAGGGCAGUCAGGGGGUCCUGCUUAGAAGCCAGUCACCAGCCCUCUGCCUGCAGCCAUGGAAGGGGGUGUGCAUGUGCCUCUGUGUGUGUGGCUGAGUGUAUUCUGCGCGUGUGUGUGGAGGGAGGGAGGGAGGGGAGCAUGGUGUCUCCCGCUCCACCGCCCUUUGUUGAGCCCCAUCAGCUGCCCCCUUUUACUUUGCAUUGAACGGCCUGUCCAAAGAUCCUCUCUCUAGGGCAGCAGAGAGCUUUUUGCACUUUAAAAAAAAAAGAAAGAAAGAAAGGUCGGAAUUUCUUUUGGGUCAAUAUUUUUAAGUGUGUGAGGAGAUGCUCAGUAGCAGCAGCCUAUGGCAAGAGCUUAUAAAUGAUUGAUGCAAAUUUGCACUCUGCUCCCCCUCUGUAAGGAUACUGAUAGCACAACCUCUUCUUCCCCCCACCCCGCCCCGCCUUUUGGUCCUCCAUCCCUGUCCCUUUCUGGCCCUCUUCCUGUAGCCCAGUCUCAGGCUUUCCUCUUCCUGAAGCCCUACAGAGUUAGGGAAUGGAGCCCAGGCACCAGGGGUCUAAAGUGUGAGCCACUGAGAAGAGAGACGCCAACUGCACCCUUGCCACUUCCAAAGCAAUAGAGGCAGAGUGGUCCCCUCUUUGCCACCUAGGCCAGUUUUGACCCUGGCAUUAACUGGCCUUAGAAGAAACUGGGUCCUGGUAGGGGGUGGCAUUUUGUUUGUUUCUUCCAAUCUGCUGAAUCUUUUGGCUGCACCUUACAAACAGCAGUCUGCUCCCAUGACCCUCUGCCCACUUCCAUUGGUCUCCAGGCCCCAAUAAUCUGGGGUUGAAACUUUGAGGAAAUGCCAGUGACUUAUUCCAGAGUGCCUCAGUUAGGGGAACUUCUCUGUAAAGAACCCUGGGUAUUGAGCAAAAACCUUAUUAUUGUUAAUGACCUAUAAUUGGAAGCUUCCUGCCUUUUUCUUUGGUUGCUCCUGUGGAAAAUACUGAAAAGAUUACUUUGUUUUAUUUUGUUGUCUUUUUAUAAAAGGGGAGGUGGAGAGACCCCUUCAGAGCAGGGAUUGUGCCGGGAGAGUGCCUCUGACUUUGGGACAUUUCAUCCACAGAAAUUUCCAAGCCAAUGGUUUCUUUUGGGUUUUGGUUUUUAUGUUUGUUUUUUGGGGUUUGGAAAAACAUGCAUUUUUACCGUGCACGUAAAUUGGUCAGCAGAAAAGGGAGCCCAGAAAAGGCAGCAGAUGGACCAUGCCCUUGCUGGGUUUUCCUUUUCUUUGGGACUGUGAGGGGAAAUGGUUUUUAGAGGUGAGGGUUGGUCCAUGUGGAGGAAAGAAGUGUCUCUGUUGGGGGACAGAGGAACCUGGGGAGUCCAUCGCAUGUCCUACAAUCUGCUCUUAGACACGGCCUUGCCAGGAGAGCCUGCCCUCAGACUGCAGGACCAGAACCCCUGCCUCCAUCUUUCCAAGCACCGGGGCGAAAAACCACAAAGGAAAGGAAGAAAAUUUAUAUAUAUAUAAUAUAAAAUCACUUGGUGAUUAAAAAAAUAACUGCUCCAUAAAUAAAACUCCUAAAGUCACUUAUGUUU